rnacentral:rRNA from 1 species
GAUGAACGCUGGCGGCGUGCCUAAUACAUGCAAGUCGAGCGAACGGACGAGAAGCUUGCUUCUCUGAUGUUAGCGGCGGACGGGUGAGUAACACGUGGAUAACCUACCUAUAAGACUGGGAUAACUUCGGGAAACCGGAGCUAAUACCGGAUAAUAUUUUGAACCGCAUGGUUCAAAAGUGAAAGACGGUCUUGCUGUCACUUAUAGAUGGAUCCGCGCUGCAUUAGCUAGUUGGUAAGGUAACGGCUUACCAAGGCAACGAUGCAUAGCCGACCUGAGAGGGUGAUCGGCCACACUGGAACUGAGACACGGUCCAGACUCCUACGGGAGGCAGCAGUAGGGAAUCUUCCGCAAUGGGCGAAAGCCUGACGGAGCAACGCCGCGUGAGUGAUGAAGGUCUUCGGAUCGUAAAACUCUGUUAUUAGGGAAGAACAUAUGUGUAAGUAACUGUGCACAUCUUGACGGUACCUAAUCAGAAAGCCACGGCUAACUACGUGCCAGCAGCCGCGGUAAUACGUAGGUGGCAAGCGUUAUCCGGAAUUAUUGGGCGUAAAGCGCGCGUAGGCGGUUUUUUAAGUCUGAUGUGAAAGCCCACGGCUCAACCAUAGUACGCUUUGGAAACUGUUUAACUUGAGUGCAAGAGGGGAGAGUGGAAUUCCAUGUGUAGCGGUGAAAUGCGUAGAUAUAUGGAGGAACACCGGUGGCGAAAGCGGCUCUCUGGCUUGUAACUGACGCUGAGGCUCGAAAGCGUGGGGAGCAAACAGGAUUAGAUACCCUGGUAGUCCACGCCGUAAACGAUGAGUGCUAGGUGUUAGACCCUUUCCGGGGUUUAGUGCCGUAGCUAACGCAUUAAACACUCCGCCUGGGGAGUACGACCGCAAGGUUGAAACUCAAAGGAAUUGACGGGGGCCCGCACAAGCGGUGGAGCAUGUGGUUUAAUUCGAAGCAACGCGAAGAACCUUACCAGGUCUUGACAUCCCUCUGACCGCUCUAGAGAUAGAGUUUUCCUUCGGGACAGAGGUGACAGGUGGUGCAUGGUUGUCGUCAGCUCGUGUCGUGAGAUGUUGGGUUAAGUCCCGCAACGAGCGCAACCCCUAUUGUUAGUUGCCAUCAUUUAGUUGGGCACUCUAGCGAGACCGCCGGUAAUAAACCGGAGGAAGGUGGGGAUGACGUCAAAUCAUCAUGCCCCUUAUGACCUGGGCUACACACGUGCUACAAUGGCUGGUACAACGAGUCGCAAGCCGGUGACGGCAAGCUAAUCUCUUANAGCCAGUCUCAGUUCGGAUUGUAGGCUGCAACUCGCCUACAUGAAGUCGGAAUCGCUAGUAAUCGCGGAUCAGCACGCCGCGGUGAAUACGUUCCCGGGCCU